UUGAAAUGAUAAAUCUAUUGUAAACGACUUUGCUGUGUCCAGGUAUUGUAAGUGAUAAGAGUGGUGUGUGUGCUGCGAUUCACUGAAGUUCUUCCUGUGUUUCUGAUUUGUUUCGCAUGCACACAACAACACCGGGCUUGCGUGCAUGAGCAUUCAGAGGCGGGGCACAUAGUGAAUUAUCUUCCAUAUGCAGUACUGCUGUUUAGCAUUGCUGUGAACAAGGAGAGUCAAUGUGUAUUGCAUUGAACCUGGAUGUGUUGCAGCUGCUUCGCAACCUAAACAUGGAGCUAUUGGCUUUGAAUUGUAUUGUGGAAAUGUAUUACCAACAGAGGUGCAGGUGCCAGCCUAUUGAAAUAAAGCGUCAAUGAGGGUGAGAAUCCUGUUUGUCAUGUGCAGCCCUUUGUGCACGGUGUAUAUUUGCUGAGUCACACUCCUUGGCAUUGGAAUGCAAAGUGGGUGGUAAGUUUCAUGUACAGGUAAACAUGCAAUUGAGACUGAUAGCACACAAGUACCAUGAGGGAAAUAUGAAAAGGACUUUGAAAAGAGAAUUAAAUGAGUUUGUAUUUGCUGAACACAAAGUAAACAGACUUGAUUUGCUUGGUGGGAGUGUUGCACUUGCUUGACAAGAGCUUUGGGCUGUGGGUGUAAUGAUUCUUUCUUUGCAUGCCAGUUUCUAUUUGUACAUCUGAUUACCUUUGCACAUGAAUGAUAAGUCUCCUGUGGGGGGUGGAUUGCAUGUGCAUGUAAUGAUUUGUGUUUUGAUAAAUGUGUCUGGUGUAUGUGUGUGUGUUCCUGUGCUUGGGGAUGCUUCCUUCCUUGGACUUACAAGCCCUGACACACACAUGCUGGCAAAAUGCUUCUGCUUGACCCGUCUUGAAACACGGACCAAGGAGUCUAACAUAUGUGCAAAGUUUGAAGGUGGUAUACCUUUGUGUGCAAUGAAAGUGUCAGCUGGGAUAUGUGCACCAGCACCCAAUUAAUUAGCGGACAGAGGUUUGAGUUGGAGCAUAUCUAUUAGGACCCGAAAGAUGGUGAACUAUGCCUGAACAGAAUGAAUUCAGAGGAAACUCUGAUGGAGGUUCGUAUCGAUACUGACGUGCAAAUCGUUCGUCAUAUUUGGGUAUAGGGGCGAAAGACUAAUCGAACCAUCUCGUAGCUGGUUCCCUCCGAAGUUUCCCUCAGUAUAGCUGGAGUUGCUCAGUUUUAUCAGGUAAAGCGAAUGAUUAAAGGAAUUGGGGACAGGUUUGUCUUUGACCUAUUCUCAAACUUUAAAUGGGUAAUAUGUAGUGGUUGCUGUAUGGAACUUCUAAGAUAAAUGGCAAUAUUGGGUGGGCCAUUUUUGGUAAGCAGAACUGGCGAUGAGGGAUGAACCUAAUGUGGGGCUAAGGUGCUUAAUUGCUUGCUCAGUUGAUACCAGCAAGGGUGUUGGUUAAUUUUAACAGCAGGACGGUGGUCAUGGAAGUCGAAAUCCGCUAAGGAGUGUGUAACAACUCACCUGCCGAAUGGACUAGCCCGAAAAUGGAUGGCGCUCAAGCGGGUGACUGAUACCCAACCAUUGUUGUAAACAACAUCAAUGUGUAGGAGGGCAUGGUGGCUUGUGACACAGCCUUUGGUGAAAACCUAGGUGCAACAGCUUCUAGUGCAGAUCUUGGUGGUAGUAGCAAUUAUUCAAAUGAAAACGUUGAAGACUGAAGUGGGGAAGGGUUUCAUGUGAACAGUGCUUGGACAUGGGUUAGCCGGUCAUAAGAGGCAGGCUUUGCUUCGCUCCUUGACAAGGAAUGGGGUUAAUAUCCCCCAGCCAGGACGUGGAUACUGCAUGGUAACAUAAUGCAGGUUGGUAAUGCAAUGGGAAGCCUUGGUAAGCGUUGUCUUUUCUGUUUAAUUGCUUAUUACCCUGGAAUCAGAUUGCCUGGAGAUAGGGUUGAAUGGCAAGCAAAGCACCUUGUCUUCUGAGGUGUCUGGUGUGCUUUUAAUUGCCAUUGAAAAACCAAAUGAUUGUUGUAUUCUCUCCCCUGGUCGUGCCCAUAUCCGCAUCAGGUCUCCAAGGUUUGCAGCCUCUGGUCUUUGGAACAAAGUAGGUAAGGGAAGUCGGCAAACUAGAUCCGUAACUUUGGGAAAAGGAUUGGCUCUGAGGGUUGGGUGCAGGGGUCCUUGUGCUGAUGCUUGAGCUAAGCAACAGCUACUUGACGCUUCUGGUGGAUAGUGGCUGUCUGCAUGGUAACAGCUGCUGGGCAAGGAAUGCCUUCUGGGGCUUUCUGUGUACAUUGAACAACUAACUCAGAACUGAAGCGGACAAGGGGAAUCCGACUGUUUAAUUAAAACAAAGCAUUGUGAUGGCUUGAAAAGGUGUUGAUGCAAUGUGAUGUCUGCCCAGUGCUCUGAAUGCCAAAGUGAUGAAAUUCAAACAAGCGCGGGUAAACGGCGGGAGUAACUAUGACUCU
rnacentral:rRNA from 1 species